rnacentral:rRNA from 1 species
UACGAAGGGGGCUAGCGUUGCUCGGAAUCACUGGGCGUAAAGCGCACGUAGGCGGAUUGUUAAGUCAGGGGUGAAAUCCUGGAGCUCAACUCCAGAACUGCCUUUGAUACUGCAAAUCUCGAGUCCGGAAGAGGUGAGUGGAAUUCCUAGUGUAGAGGUGAAAUUCGUAGAUAUUAGGAAGAACACCAGUGGCGAAGGGCGGCCUCACUGGUCCGGUACUGACGCUGAGGUGCGAAAGCGUGGG